GGGGCGCAGGGCGGCCAUGUAAACACGCGUGCGCGAGUACAUGCUUAAGCGUCACGUCACACGCUCUCAACCAUCGAGACGAGCACAUCGGGAGCUGCCGCGUUAUUUUUUAAAUUAUUCCGUGCCGAUUUUUAAUAUCGCGUUUCGACUUUGCGACAAUUGAGACAAUAAUUAAGACAAAUUAAGACGCGUAUUCCUCAAGCGAGCAAGUGAGCUUUACCGCGACAGAGAUCCAACAGAACAGACGCAGUCACGCGGUAGGGGAUGCAAUACCUGGGGAAUACCGCACCGGAGGAUUCGGCUUUGGCCUAGCAGAGUUGGCGCGAAGAGACGAAACAGAC